rnacentral:rRNA from 1 species
GACAGAGGGUGCGAACGUUGUUCGGAAUUACUGAGCGUAAAGCGCGUGUAGGCGGCAGCGCAAGUCGGGCGUGAAAUCCCACGGCUCAACCGUGGAAGUGCACUCGAAACUGCGCAGCUAGAGUCCUGGAGAGGAAGGUGGAAUGCUUGGUGUAGAGGUGAAAUUCGUAGAUAUCAAGCGGAACACCGGUGGCGAAGGCGGCCUUCUGGACAGUGACUGACGCUGAGGGCGCGAAGGCCCAGGGGGAGCCAAACGGGG